GGCUCGUAGUAACAGAGCGAAAAUGGCGUAGAGCGGAGGCUGUGCGGAGACAGGGGACGAGGGGACCUUCUCCUCUCCGGGUAGUGAGGAGAGGGAAAAGAGGGGCCAUGCGGUUUUUUGGUUUAUUCUUCUUUAAGUAUGACCUCACACGGCGCGGUCACUCUAUAUAGAAUGAGCCCGGCAUACGUCCAGUCCGGGAGACCUGGACGUGUCUCGGUAGAGGAAGAAACCGCCGUGGCUUUUGUUUACCAUGUUGAGCCGCAGCAGCUCGAGCCCCAGAGGAAAUACCUCCGCAUCAAUUAGGACCAACUGUCACACCAAGGAUGGGUUUCCCAUUCAAUGCAGCUGUGAAACCAGCUGAAGCCCCAACCGGAGGAACAUCAGCCCCAGCACCAUCGACGGACCACUUCCACGGCCGCCCACGCUUUUGGAGGUAAAGGAUGAAGAGGCAUUGUGAAGAUGACCUCUUUUUGGGGGCUUUUGGGACAUGGGUGCCCUCCUGGGACAUUGUCUCUCUCUCUGUCUCCUCCUCCUCUUCUUGCAGCAUGAUCAUCUUUCAGGACAUCUGCCAAGAUUGUGGGCUAGAGUGACUUCCACCAAGCACACUCUGACUACGUCUACAUGUAGCAAAACGCUGGCUUUGCGGUCACUAAACUGGCUGAAAGGCCGGGGAGUUUCAGUUCUCCGUGUAAUGGCCUGGAAGACUCCAUCAUUUGGGCAUUUUCAGUCAGAUUUGGGUUAGAUUCGUAUCAGUCUGCAUGUAAACGUAGUCACUGAUGCUUUCCUGAAAAGGUCAAAAGAAAAUCCCCCACAUGUUCUAUAAUUAAAUCAGAGCAGCUGGACAAACUGCUCCUGUUACCUGGGAAAAGAGUAAUGACGCAACAAACUGUAGCAAAGAUCAAGGCCUGUGAUUAAAUUCGAUUCAUAGGGUGUUUUUAUUUUUUUUUUUUUUUUGGUUUUUGCACUACCUCAUCGCCCUAACAAGUCCAACAGGAGUGAAUGGGUGCGUGAUCGAUAAAAGUGACUUAAUGGUUGUCAAGCGCCACAGCAGUUUUAUGUGCUGUUACUGGUCAAAUUUAGUCAAAUAAGGGACGUAGUCGACAGGCGAGCAGGAGCAGCCGGCAGCACGCGAUUCAACCAUUUUGAGGAAAACGUCGACUCACUCAAACUGUGGUCCCCUAUGCAUCUGUUCCAAAGGAAGGUCACAAGAUAGUAUUUUUACUCCACAAUCUCAUUUUUUUUCCAUUUUGGUGCUCUCCUUUGUCAAGUCUGCAGGUUUAUUCACAAUUUGAAGAUAAUAUUCCUGUUGUGACUUAGUCCUUGGAAUCCCCCCCCCCCCUCCCACCUUAACAUGAGCUCUCCUAUAAGAGACUGAUUCUGAACACACUGCAGGUAGAGACAGAAUUGACUAUUUGAUGCCUUUUAUGGCAUAAACCAUGAGACAAAAUCACUCAAAAAAGUAAUUGUAUCGGGCUUAUCAACCAUAAUGCUCUGUCUCUACCUGCCGUGUCCAUGUGUCCAUGUGUCCAUGUGUCCAGUAAGCAGAGAUACCAGCGCUGAAGUAGCAGCUCCUUUUGAUUCAAGCUUUUAUUGGAUUCCUCCUUACCUGAAAGAAACCCUGGUCUCAUUUCUUCAACUUUUUCUUCUUUUGGGAUCAUUUAAAAAAAAAAAAAAAAAAAAUCACAUUUAAUCGGGAUUUGUGCAAUAUUUGAUCUUAACUGUCAUGUUGUUGACCAAACUGUAUAUUGUAUAAACAAGUGACACGUUGUUUGAAAGCAACAAAAUCACCAAUGUCUUCCAUUAAGAUAUGUAUAGACUCAUGUGCAUUAGCCUAUUUAGCGGGACUGUGGUGCCAACAUUAUAGUGGCCAUGCAUGACCAGUUGUGAUGCUUGCUUUUUGAAAACUACUUAAAUCAAUUUCUAGACUAAGCUGGAGCUCAAAACUGUGGGAACCAUUUCAGUCACAUGAAAGGCUGGUAGAUUGACGUACGCCACAUUUAGACACAGCUUGGCCCUAAAAUCUUAGACUAAUGUCAGAUCUCCCUUUUAUUCCAUGUCCUGGGUGUAGAAUAAGUUGCAUAACAAAGUACAAUAUAAGUAUAACACAAUCAGGGUAUGCAGUUAAUUGUUGAUUCAAGUUCAUAUAGGUGUAUAUUCUCAAUAUAAGUAAGUGCUUUCUAACAGAAGGAAAAAAAGUAGAUGCCCUAAAUUGUAUUCAUGCACUCUUAAGCAUAAAAAAUGAAUAAGGUAGGAAGUAUGCAACAACCAAAAAGAUCCCAGAUGUGACUGGUACAAACCUUUUUAGGAAAAAAUACAACCUAAUAUUAAGAGUAGUGCUUUAAUCCUAGAUUUGGGUAUAAUUGGUAGGGACGCGACGUAGUGCUUAAGUCCUAGAAUUAGGAUCUCAUCUUGACAUUGUAUUGUACAUAAUACCUCAUAGUCUUGGGAUUCAGAGCGAGAUAUUUUAAUCCAUACAAUUGUAUUUGAUUAUAGUUUUAGAAGCAAUAACCUACAAUAAUGCAUGAGUUUAGUGCCAGGGUGUAAGUGUUUAAAGGAGUGUGUAAUGUCCCCUUCCCCGUGCUCUCGUUUAUGCCUUCGGUAGCAAUCUAUUAGUCACUUUUAUGGGGGGAGUCGAUUUAAUAUUUGGCUUUAGAAUACAGUAUCACUUGGGUCGGGACACUUCCUGCAGAACAAGGUACACGCGAGGACAGCUGUAGCAUCAUGUCUUACAGAGCCAAAUGACCUGCCUUGUAUUCUUUCCACACCAAAACAAUAAUUGAAACCAAUCGGUACAUGAGAGAUGCUUUCAAUUUCAAUUCUUGUAGCAUUUUUUUACAUCUACAAAAACCCACCCCACAUUUUAGAAAUAGACUUUCAGUAACUCUGUGGCUGCAAAGGACUUAUUGAAUGAACUUGACACGUCUGAAAAGCACUUUCUCUCUCUCUCUCUCUCUCUCUCUCUCUACUGACUUGCACUGUCAUCAUCACCAUCCUGUCUUGAAUACUGUGUUCUAAAAACCCUGUAAUGCUCUAUGUGGGGAUUUAUAAUCACAAUCUAUAAGCAAAUAGGCGUCUAGCAACAAGAAUAAAUGGGUUUAGAAAAUAUGCAUGACAUAGCAGAAUACUGAAUGAUUUGUAUUGCAUGCAAUAAUCCAACUUUGUAAUGUGAAUGGGUGUAAUUAGGCUAUUGAAAUGUUCACAUCGAUGUUCUGUGACAAGGUGAGACUCGGGCUGGGUUCAAAUAAUCGAUUCUCCAAUCGAAAUCAAUCUGUAUUUGAGUUAUCAGUUAUCAAUAUGUAAAAACCCAAUGUUUAUAUAAUGUUAGGGUUAACUUUUUGGGGGUCAAUUCUGGAAACAACCCGGUGUAUUAUUAUGGUGUAAAAUAUAUAAUUUAAUGUAUGGCAUAUGUUCUCUGGGAAUCCCUUUUUAUAUCCGAGCAAAAUUGGUACUGUAACUAAACUUUCAAUCGGGACCCGGGGAAUCAGAAGGGAUUGGAUGACUAAUCGUUGGCGAUACCCAGCCCUAGUGACAGCUUGGGGACGGUUGUUUGACACAACGGCAUGUUGAAGUAACUUUGAUUACCAAAAAAACAGAAGUGUCAGAGAGUAGUUGGAAGUGUGUCUGCUCUCUCUCUGCUGCGUCAGACAUGAUCACGGGCAGUACAGCCACAGUGCAGCUGAAAAACACUGAUCAGCCUUUGUUCCCACGACAACAAAAGCUUAGGUAAAAUGAUUAAUGACAUUACUUUUGUUGAUCAACUUUUCCACUGAGCAGGUGGACGGUGUAGAAACUAUGCACUCCAGAGGGAGAAAAUGGGCAUGCUUAUUACGUGUGAGCCUCUUGUCUGGUUUUAUAUUAAAAAAAAUCUGUAUGAGAAAUUCAGCAAUAAAAUGCAGCAUGGUGCCAACUG